UACGUAGGGCGCAAGCGUUGUCCGGAAUUAUUGGGCGUAAAGAGCUCGUAGGCGGCUUGUCACGUCGGGUGUGAAAGCCCGGGGCUUAACCCCGGGUCUGCAUUCGAUACGGGCUGGCUAGAGUGUGGUAGGGGAGAUCGGAAUUCCUGGUGUAGCGGUGAAAUGCGCAGAUAUCAGGAGGAACACCGGUGGCGAAGGCGGAUCUCUGGGCCAUUACUGACGCUGAGGCACGAAAGCGUGGGGAGCAAACAGG
rnacentral:rRNA from 1 species